rnacentral:tRNA from 1 species
GGAGGGUGCAGCUCAAUGGUACAGCACGUGCUUAGCAUGCACGAGGUCCCAGGUUCAAUCCCCAGUCCCUCCA